GUGUGUGUGUGUUUGUGUUACUAGUGGAGGUGUGUGUGUGUGUGUGUUACUAGUGGAGGUGUGUGUGUGUGUGUGUUACUAGUGGAGGUGUGUGUGUGUGUGUGUUACUAGUGGAGGUGUGUGUGUGUGUUACUAGUGGAGGUGUGUGUGUGUUACUAGUGGAGGUGUGUGUGUGUGUGUGUUACUAGUGGAGAUGUGUGUGUGUGUGUGUGUGUGUUACUAGUGGAGAUGUGUGUGUGUGUGUGUUACUAGUGGAGAUGUGUGUGUGUGUGUGUGUGUGUUACUAGUGGAGAUGUGUGUGUGUGUGUGUGUGUUACUAGUGGAGAUGUGUGUGUGUGUGUGUGUGUGUGUGUGUUACUAGUGGAGAUGUGUGUGUGUGUGUGUGUGUUACUAGUGGAGAUGUGUGUGUGUGUGUGUUACUAGUGGAGAUGUGUGUGUGUGUGUGUGUGUGUGUUACUAGUGGAGAUGUGUGUGUGUGUGUUACUAGUGGAGAUGUGUGUGUGUGUGUGUGUGUGUGUUACUAGUGGAGAUGUGUGUGUGUGUGUGUGUUACUAGUGGAGAUGUGUGUGUGUGUGUGUGUUACUAGUGGAGAUGUGUGUGUGUGUGUGUUACUAGUGGAGGUGUGUGUGUGUGUGUUACUAGUGGAGGUGUGUGUGUGUUACUAGUGGAGGUGUGUGUGUGUGUGAGAUGACACUAUUGUGUUGAUGGUGUGAGAGAGUGAGAGAAAGAGGUGUUACUACUGGAGGUGGUGUGUGUGUGUGUGUGUUUGUUUGAGGUGUGUGUGUGUGUGUUACUAGUGGAGGUGUGUGUGUGUGUGUGUGUAUUAUUUCCAGAGACUUUCUCACUGAAGAUUAGAAUCUCAGCAUUAACUCUGACAUGAGGAAUUCAAUGCACAGGAUACUGAGAUCGUUUUGGUAGCAAGUUAAAUGACUGGGUAAACAGGGUGAAGAGCAAAUAAUGGAAAUAUAGUGUGUGUGUGUGUGUGUGUGUGU